ACUCCUGCGGGAGGCAGCAGUGGGGAAUUUUGGACAAUGGGCGAAAGCCUGAUCCAGCAAUGCCGCGUGAGUGAAGAAGGCCUUCGGGUUGUAAAGCUCUUUUGUCAGGGAAGAAACGGUGAGAGCUAAUAUCUUUUGCUAAUGACGGUACCUGAAGAAUAAGCACCGGCUAACUACGUGCCAGCAGCCGCGGUAAUACGUAGGGUGCAAGCGUUAAUCGGAAUUACUGGGCGUAAAGCGUGCGCAGGCGGUUUUGUAAGUCUGAUGUGAAAUCCCCGGGCUCAACCUGGGAAUUGCAUUGGAGACUGCAAGGCUAGAAUCUGGCAGAGGGGGGUAGAAUUCCACGUGUAGCAGUGAAAUGCGUAGAUAUGUGGAGGAACACCGAUGGCGAAGGCAGCCCCCUGGGUCAAGAUUGACGCUCAUGCACGAAAGCGUGGGGAGCAAACAGGAUUAGAAACCCCUGUAGUCCCAUG
rnacentral:rRNA from 1 species